rnacentral:rRNA from 1 species
UACGUAGGGGGCAAGCGUUGUCCGGAUUUACUGGGCGUAAAGAGCGUGUAGGCGGCCAAGCAGGUCCGUUGUGAAAACUGGAGGCUUAACCUCCAGACGUCGACGGAAACCGCGUGGCUAGAGUCCGGAAGAGGAGAGUGGAAUUCCUGGUGUAGCGGUGAAAUGCGCAGAUAUCAGGAAGAACACCAAUGGCGAAGGCAGCUCUCUGGGACGGUACUGACGUUGAGACGCGAAAGCGUGGGGAGCAAACAGG